GUGAGUAUGGCUCCUUGAGAGAUGAACUUAUUCAUGUCAAAAUAGUUCUAGGUAUUAAUACUGAAAGUACCCGCCGUCGCCUAUUGAGGGAACAUGAUUUAAACCUACAUGCAGCAAUUGAGAUAUGUCGCACUGCAGAACUUACUGACAAACAUAUGAGAGCUAUGGAGCAGGAUAAACAGACUGACAGCAUCCAUGCAGCCUUCAAGCAACAGCUACGC